UAGUGGCAGACGGGUGAGUAAUGUAUAGGAAUCUACCUAAUAGUACGGAAUAAUUGUUGGAAACGGCAACUAAUACCGUAUACGCCCUACGGGGGAAAAAUUUAUUGCUAUUAGAUGAGCCUAUAUUAGAUUAGCUAGUUGGUGGAGUAAUAGCCUACCAAGGCAAUGAUCUAUAGCUGAUCUGAGAGGAUGAUCAGCCACACUGGAACUGAGAUACGGUCCAGACUCCUACGGGAGGCAGCAGUGGGGAAUAUUGGACAAUGGGCGAAAGCCUGAUCCAGCCAUGCCGCAUGAGUGAAGAAGGCCUUUGGGUUGUAAAGCUCUUUUAGUGAGGAAGAUAAUGACGGUACUCACAGAAGAAGUCCUGGCUAACUCCGUGCCAGCAGCCGCGGUAAUACGGAGAGGGCUAGCGUUAUUCGGAAUUAUUGGGCGUAAAGGGCGCGUAGGCUGGUUAAUAAGUUAAAAGUGAAAUCCCGAGGCUUAACCUUGGAAUUGCUUUUAAAACUAUUAAUCUAGAGAUUGAAAGAGGAUAGAGGAAUUCCUGAUGUAGAGGUAAAAUUCGUAAAUAUUAGGAGGAACACCAGUGGCGAAGGCGUCUAUCUGGUUCAAAUCUGACGCUGAAGCGCGAAGGCGUGGGGAGCAAACAGGAUUAGAUACCCUGGUAGUCCACGCUGUAAACGAUGAAUGUUAAAUAUGGGAAGUUUACUUUCUGUAUUACAGCUAACGCGUUAAACAUUCCGCCUGGGGACUACGGUCGCAAGAUUAAAACUCAAAGGAAUUGACGGGGACCCGCACAAGCGGUGGAGCAUGUGGUUUAAUUCGAUGCAACGCGAAAAACCUUACCACUUCUUG
rnacentral:rRNA from 2 species